rnacentral:rRNA from 1 species
AGUCAAUAGAUACCCUGGUAGUCCACGCCGUAAACGAUGAGUACUAGGCGUAGGAGGUAUCGACUCCUUCUGUGCCACAGUUAACACAAUAAGUACUCCGCCUGGGAAGUACGGUCGCAAGAUUAAAAACUCAAAGGAAUUGACGGGGGGCCCGCACAAGCAGCGGAGCAUGUGGUUUAAUUCGAAGCAACGCAAAGAACCUUACCUAGACUUGACAUCUCCUGAAUAGUGUAGAGAUACAUGAAGCCCUUCGGGGUCGAGGAAGACAGGUGGUGCAUGGUUGUCGUCAGCUCGUGUCGUGAGAUGUUGGGUUAAGUCCCGCAACGAGCGCAACCCUUAUUACUAGUUGCUACCAUUAAGUUGAGCACUCUAGUGAGACUGCCCGGGUUAA